ACGCUCGACACCUACCGAGGCAGCAGUGGGGAAUAUUGCACAAUGGGGGAAACCCUGAUGCAGCGACGCCGCGUGGAGGAAGAAGGUCUUCGGAUUGUAAACUCCUGUUGUUGGGGAAAAAGAGGAUGGUACCCAACAAGGAAGUGACGGCUAACUACGUGCCUGCAGCCGCGGUAAUCUGAGCGGGCUGGCAAGGC
rnacentral:rRNA from 1 species